AAGGAUUUAAGUUAAAGAAACUAGCAGCCUUCAAAGCUGCAAAUGAAGAUUAUCCCUCUUUAAGCCUUA
rnacentral:tRNA from 1 species